GACGGGACCCGCACAAGCGGUGGAUGAUGUGGUUUAAUUCGAUGCAACGCGAAAACCUUACCCACCUUUGACAUGUACGGAACCCUUUAGAGAUAGAGGGGUGCUCGAAAGAGAGCCGUAACACAGGUGCUGCAUGGCUGUCGUCAGCUCGUGUCGUGAGAUGUUGGGUUAAGUCCCGCAACGAGCGCAACCCUUGUCAUUAGUUGCUACAUUCAGUUGGGCACUCUAAUGAGACUGCCGGUGACAAGCCGAGAAGGUGGGGAUGACGUCAAGUCCUCAUGGCCCUUAUAGGUGGGGCUACACACGUGCUACAAUGGCCGGUACAGACGGACGCAAAGCCGCGAGGUGGAGCAAAUCCUAAAAAGCCGGUCUCAGUUCGGAUUGCAGGCUGCAAUUCGCCUGCAUGAAGUCGGAAUCGCUAGUAAUCGCAGGUCAGCAUACUGCGGUGAAUACGUUCCCGGGCCUU
rnacentral:rRNA from 1 species